rnacentral:rRNA from 1 species
AACGAACGCUGGCGGCAGGCCUAACACAUGCAAGUCGAGCGCGCCCUUCGGGGUGAGCGGCGGACGGGUGAGUAACGCGUGGGAACGUGCCCUUUUCUACGGAAUAGCCUCGGGAAACUGAGAGUAAUACCGUAUACGCCCUUUGGGGGAAAGAUUUAUCGGAAAAGGAUCGGCCCGCGUUGGAUUAGGUAGUUGGUGGGGUAAUGGCCUACCAAGCCGACGAUCCAUAGCUGGUUUGAGAGGAUGAUCAGCCACACUGGGACUGAGACACGGCCCAGACUCCUACGGGAGGCAGCAGUGGGGAAUCUCAGACAAUGGGGGCAACCCUGAUCUAGCCAUGCCGCGUGAGUGAUGAAGGCCUUAGGGUUGUAAAGCUCUUUCAGCUGGGAAGAUAAUGACGGUACCAGCAGAAGAAGCCCCGGCUAACUCCGUG